rnacentral:lncRNA from 1 species
CUGGAACUCACUCUGUAGACCAGGCUGGCCUCAAUCUCACAGAGAUCCACCUGCCUCUGCUUCCUGAGUGCUAGGAUUAAAUGCUCACACCACCACACCCAUCCUGAGUGCUGGGAUUAAGUGCUCACACCACCACAUCUAUCCUGUAGCAAAGCUUUCCUCUGAUUCAUCCGAGCAGAUGUUUUCUUCUGGGCAGAGUGCAGACACUCACGGCAUUACUGACAGCAUUAGUAAAGCACACGGCCUUCUGGACAACAGCAACAAAGCCCAACAGCGGCUUCCACCUGGGAAGAGGAGGAACAGAAACCUUGAGAAGGGCUUGGGGAUGGGAGUAAGGAGAAGACCCAGGUCCUGUAGAGUCCCUUCCAGGUCCCUGCUCCCAUGCCUUGUCUGCCACCGGAGUCCCUUUGGUCACUUGACUCUAGAAUUAUAUAGAACUUUUUUUUUUCUAUUUUUGACGGGGUCUUGUUCUUCAGCUAGGUUGACUUUGAACUCUCUGUACGUGUAGGUAGGCCAUACUGGCCUGGAAUUCCAAGUCUUUCUACCUCAGGCUCCCCAGCGAUGACAUCAUCCCAGGCACGCUGUGCUCAGCACAAGGGCGUUUCAUCAGUUGUUCCUUACACCUUGUGCUGAGGGCUCAGAGUUUCAGGAACACCGUUGCCUUGUGUGCCAUGGUGUCUACUGCAGUUUGGAGCCUAGAGAAGAAGAGGAGGGAGAGGAGCACUGGGAAAGGAGGCCAACAUGCAGAGCCCAGCUCAGGGCACUUGCUGGAGAGCAAGCGAAGCCAAUGUCAAGGCUACAACAAUGGCUUCAGUUUCCUGCAGGCAACAGCGAGUGACCCAAGGCUUUUGACAAAGCAGUCUGUGCUUCAAGAAAGUUCUCCUGGGCCAGAUGCUGGGUUCAGAUGGCCGAGACUGAAUUGGGUGGGGCAAUUAGAUAAAGGGGCUCCCUAACUAGGCAGUUCACAGGGCUACUUUUUUUGUCGUUUUGUUUUGUUUCUGAGACGGGGUUCCAUGGAACUCUGGCUGUCAUGGAACUUGCUCUGUAGACUAGGCUGGCCUUGAACUCAGAGAUCUGACUGCUUCUACCUAGGAUUAAAGGUAUGCACCACCACCACCAGAUGCUCACGGGGCUUUUAAAGAUCCAGAUCAUGGGGCAGGGGAGAGGUAGCUCAGCUGGCAAAGUGUUUGCUGAGAGCAAGCAUGGGGAGCCCUGGGGAGUCUGAUUUCUAAUAUCCAUGUGAGAAAAGCCAGGUGUGUUGGUUGGUGGAUGCUUAUAAAGCGUAGGGAGGUAGAGUUAAGAGGAUCCCUGGGGCUCCUGGCCUAACCAGCGGACCCAGAGAGAGAAGCUAUCACAAAAACACAAGGUGGGUGGUUCCUAAGAAUGACACCCCCCCACACACACAGGUACACACAUGCAUGUGCACCUGCAUGCACUAAUGUGUGCCCUGAUGUCAGUACAUGCACACACACACACACACACUCACACGUUUGAGACAAGGUCUCACAAUGUUGCCUUGGCUGACCUGGAACUUGCUUUGUGGUCUCUAACUCAUGCAGACCAGGUUAGUCCUAACUAAUAGAGCUCUGUCUGUGUCUCCCGAGGUGCAUACCACCACAUCUGCCUGGUGCUCCUUUGAGAUUUUCUUACAGGUGGUCUGGAGGUGAGACUAGGAAUCUGCAUUUUUGAAACAUCUCAUUUCAAAUACAGGGACUGACUCUGGAAGGGAAAACGGGUGCCUUUCCUGUGCGAGGAGGUAGGAGAAAAUCAUAUGUGGGAUAAGAUGAUGGGGAGAGACAUUGAGGAGGGUGACAAAGGGGACCUCGAAUCUGUGGGCACCUUUCCCACUCAUUGUCAAGAGUGUCUAGAGCUGAAAAAGGAGCCUAUAGUUCGGCUCUCUGGAGUUCCUUACACACAGUCCUCAUCCCCAGGAGGUAGUGAGGGUGGAGGCUCACAGCUCACACUCUGCAGUGCAGCAGCUGGAUUGCAAUGCUUGUCUGUGUGUGAGCGAGCGAGUCACCUGUACCAACAGCAGACUCCUCCCCACACAAUGCAAAGUCUCCAAGCUGUUAGCUUCAUCUGGCUUUUGCGAGGAUACCAUGCAAUGCCACACUGGAGGCUGGGCACUGUGCCUGACCCAUCGAGCAUCCUACAUGGGAGUGCUAGGCGUAAUUCUGAGAAAUGUGUCAUGGCAGAAGCCAGAGAUCCAUGUCUAUGUUGUUCAGCACUAGGAGACAAGUCUCAGGAAAGCAGAAAGCACCAACCCUUUCACUUGUUCUCCACCUGUGCAGCUUUCCCUAGGUGUAAGUUUGGUGACUCCUCUGCCUUUGAUUUCUAGGACUUGAAGAGAAAUGACAAUCCCUUGCUGCUGCAUGUAAUUGGUGAGAAGCACACAGACCUGGAAUUAUAAUUAUGACGUUUUAAAUGCCAAGCUCUUCAGAAGUCUGACUUUGCCCUUGCUGUCACCCUGAACCCAAACCCUGCCUCCCACACCCUGAGCAUGCCCCCGAGUCUCUCGGCCAAGCUUCACCUGGGAAAUCUGAGUGACAGGUGACAUGCAGGCAGCUGGAAGACGCACAGUAAACGGAGCCUACGAUGAGCUCAGAAGAGAAUCCACAGGGCAGCUCAGAACCAUCCACAGUUCCAGGUGACUGCUGACCUCCACAGGCAGGAGGAUCUCUGAAUUCAAGGCCAGCCUGGACAAUAAGCAACCCUCCCCCCCCCCCAA